GGCGCAUUUGUCUAGCGGCUAGGACACCACCCUCUCACGGUGGGGACAGGGGUUCGAUUCCCCUAUGCGCUACCA
rnacentral:tRNA from 1 species